rnacentral:tRNA from 1 species
UAGAAUGUAAUUAAGAAUAAUAUCUCCCUUACACCGAGAAAACACUUGUGCAAAUCAAGUCACUCUAA